UACAGAGGGGGCAAGCGUUGUUCGGAAUUACUGGGCGUAAAGGGCGCGUAGGCGGCCUGUUAAGUCGAACGUGAAAUCCCCGGGCUCAACCCGGGAACUGCGUCCGAUACUGGCAGGCUUGAAUUCGGGAGAGGGAUGCGGAAUUCCAGGUGUAGCGGUGAAAUGCGUAGAUAUCUGGAGGAACACCUGAGGUGAAGACGGGUUGCUGGGCUGACACUGACGCUGAGGCGCGAAAGCUAGGGUAGCAAACGGG
rnacentral:rRNA from 1 species